AACUUUUAGCAACGGAUCUCUUGGCUCUGGCAUCGAUGAAGAACGCAGCGAAAUGCGAUACGUAAUGUGAAUUGCAGAAUUCAGUGAAUCAUCGAAUCUUUGAACGCACAUUGCGCCCGCCAGCACUCUGGCGGGCAUGCCUGUUCGAGCGUCA
rnacentral:rRNA from 1 species